GCAUAUCAAUAAGCGGAGGAAAAGAAACCAACCGGGAUUACCUCAGUAACGGCGAGUGAAGCGGUAACAGCUCAAAUUUGAAAUCUGGCUCUUGCGGAGUCCGAGUUGUAAUUUGUAGAAGAUGCUUUGGGUUGUGGGUUCGGCCUAAGUUCCUUGGAACAGGACGUCAUAGAGGGUGAGAAUCCCGUAUGUGGCCGAGGCCCGCGCCUAUGUAAAGCUCUUUCAACGAGUCGAGUUGUUUGGGAAUGCAGCUCAAAAUGGGUGGUAAAUUUCAUCUAAAGCUAAAUAUGGGCCAGAGACCGAUAGCGCACAAGUAGAGUGAUCGAAAGAUGAAAAGCACUUUGGAAAGAGAGUUAAACAGUACGUGAAAUUGUUGAAAGGGAAGCGCUUGCAACCAGACUUGGGCGCUGCCGAUCACCUUGAGUUUUCUCGAGUGCACUCGACAGCGCACAGGCCAGCAUCGGUUCGGGUGGCUGGAUAAAGGCCGUAGGAAUGUGGCUCUCUUCGGGGAGUGUUAUAGCCUACGGUGCCAUGCAGCCCAGCCGGACCGAGGACCGCGCCUUCGGGCUAGGAUGCUGGCGUAAUGGUUGUAAGCGACCCGUCUUGAAACACGGACC
rnacentral:rRNA from 1 species